rnacentral:rRNA from 1 species
GACGAACGCUGGCGGCGUGCCUAAUACAUGCAAGUUGAGCGCUGAAGGUUGGUACUUGUACCAACUGGAUGAGCAGCGAACGGGUGAGUAACGCGUGGGGAAUCUGCCUUUGAGCGGGGGACAACAUUUGGAAACGAAUGCUAAUACCGCAUAAAAACUUUAAACACAAGUUUUAAGUUUGAAAGAUGCAAUUGCAUCACUCAAAGAUGAUCCCGCGUUGUAUUAGCUAGUUGGUGAGGUAAAGGCUCACCAAGGCGAUGAUACAUAGCCGACCUGAGAGGAUGAUCGGCCGCAUUGGGACUGAGACACGCCCCAAACUCCUACGGGAGGCAGCAGUAGGGAAUCUUCAGCAAUGGACGAAAGUCUGACCGAGCAACGCCGCGUGAGUGAAGAAGGUUUUCGGGUCGUAAAACUCGGUUGGUGGAGAAGAACGUUGGUGAGAGUGGAAAGCUCAUCAAGUGACGGUAACUACCCAGAAAGGGACGGCUAACUACGUG